ensembl:ncRNA Y46D2A.6 ncRNA
UCCCCACUUCUUCUCUCAAGUUUUAUUGAUUUUUUUUGCUGAUAUUUUUCUGAUAUUUCAACUAAUAUUGUUGUCGAUUUGAUAAAGGGAUACAUAUACAUCGCAGGGCUUGGUAAAAUUUUUUGAAUGAAUCUCCUAAACAGAAUCAAGACAAACAAACAUGGAUGGAAACACUUAAAUUCGAAUACUUGAAGAUUGAAUUUUUCGGGAUCCGAACUCCUUUAUGGAUAUUUUCCGCCGAAAGUGUUUGCAACGGAAACUCCAAACUUUAUGGAGAUAAUUUUGUUAUGCUGGAAAACUCAC